GGCCCAUUAGCUCAGUUGGUUAGAGCGUCGUGCUAAUAACGCGAAGGUCGCGGGUUCGAUCCCCUC
rnacentral:tRNA from 1 species